rnacentral:rRNA from 1 species
GGAUUAGAUACCCUGGUAGUCCAUGCCGUAAACGUUGGGCACUAGGUGUGGGGGACAUUCCACGUUCUCCGCGCCGUAGCUAACGCAUUAAGUGCCCCGCCUGGGGAGUACGGUCGCAAGGCUAAAACUCAAAGGAAUUGACGGGGGCCCGCACAAGCGGCGGAGCAUGCGGAUUAAUUCGAUGCAACGCGAAGAACCUUACCAAGGCUUGACAUACACCGGACCGGGCUGGAAACAGUCUUUCCCUUUUUGGGCUGGUGUACAGGUGGUGCAUGGUUGUCGUCAGCUCGUGCCG